rnacentral:lncRNA from 1 species
AGUAUAGAAUGGCUAUAUGCCAACCAUAGAGAUGGGCGUCAAGGAAAGACUGAGAGUCGUUCAAAUCCUAAAUCCUUCUGAUUUCUUUCCCCACCCAGAACACCGGCCUGUAAUUAGUGCCUGUCUCUGUAGCACGCAAAACCAAACUUUAUAAACUACAGGGCGCAAGUAAUGCCUAAUCUGUUUGAGAUGCUCUGUGUCAGGAUCUAGGCUAGCUGAGGCGGCAAAGUAGCCUUGUCCCUGAAUUUAAGGCUACUUUUGAACUCUAAGGAGAGAAGGCCUAACUUUGCACAAACUCUAGUGUGCAGGCCGUGUCCGAGCCCAGCUCAGCUGAUCAGCGUGACCUUGGAGGAGCUGCUUGCCAUCUUCACCAGUGUGCUGGGGCGCUCGCCCUUUCUCCUUGUUGUUUCCCAUCACGACGUGGCCGUCAGGGGUUCCAAGAAGCUGGAAUGAGAGUAGUGCCUUCUCCGCCUCCAGGAUGUAAUCUGAGGGUGCUGACUGAGGUCUCUGGGGGGCUUGUUUGGGCUGGAACAUCCGAAACGGCUCACCCAGGUGGCAGGUGGCCCAGAGCGAUUCAUUGGAACAACUCGCUUCUCCCCAUGUGACCUGAGUUUGGCUUGGGCUUCUCCCAGCAUGGCAGCUGGCUUCCAAGAGGAAGCCUCCCAGAGCAAGUCGUCUACAAGGAAGGAAAUGGAAGUUGCCAAGCCUCCUAACCCUGGGCUGGGAAAUCCUAGAAUGCCGCUUCUGGUCAAAACCAGUCAGGGGUCAGUCCAGGUUCAAAGGGAAGGGAAACAGCCCUCCCUUUGGAGGGGAAGAGCCACCUGCGCAUAUACAGAGGGCAAGUAUUGUUUGCGAUCGCCUUGGGAAACUAGCUCCCGCCACAGAGUAGAGCGCCUGGCCUCACCUGGGUAGGUGCACAGUCAGGGGAGGGUCACCACAUCUUAGCACAUCGGCCCCUCUUGCAAGGCUGGCCCUCCUUCCUAAUGGAUCACCCGCUCUAUGGUCCUGGCAGUGAGAACGGCUGAAACUAAGCAGGAGCUGGGAAUUAGGGACGUGAAGAAAUGCAGAAACAAGGGAAGUGCAGUUAAACGAGAAGAGAAAUGACUUUCAUUCAGGGAUCAGCGUCCUUGCUCCUCCUCAAGGGAUAUACGUAAUAGUACAUCAUCGGACUCAGAUCUCCGAGUUGUUCUGCAGGAACUGAGACUUGCCCACCCAGGGGGAUGGUGAACCCUAGCAGGCAGACCCCGCACCCGACGGAGGAUGACGAUUCCUGAAACAUCACCCUGUUACCUCAUCACCAACCAAUCAGAAGAACGUCGUGCACCCUGCAGCCCUCCCCCUAAAGGCUGCUCUGAAAAACCUUUCCCUCAGGGCGUUCAGGUUUUUUGAGCUUGAGCCACCCAUACCCCAUGCUUGGCGCCCUGCAAAUAAACACCAUACGUUCCUUCAUCACAACCCCUCUCAGUAAAUUGGCUUUGUGGCACGGCUGGCAAGCCGACCCGAGUUCAGUUCGGUAAAACUGUCCUUUAAACAUUUGAUAAACUGCUGUUGAAUUCCUUC